UGCACUGGUAGCUCAGCGCCAGAGCGCCGGCCUUGUAAGCCGGCGGCCGGAGGUUAGAAUCCUCCCCAUUGCUC
rnacentral:tRNA from 1 species